rnacentral:rRNA from 1 species
UGGGAAUCUUCCACAAUGGGCGCAAGCCUGAUGGAGCAACGCCGCGUGAGUGAUGAAGGCCUUCGGGUUGUAAAACUCUGUCUUCUGUGACGAACAAGUGCGUGAGUGGAAAGCUCGCACCCUGACGGUAACAGAGGAGGAAGCCACGGCUAACUACGUGCCAGCAGCCGCGGUAAUACGUAGGUGGCAAGCGUUGUCCGGAAUCACUGGGCGUAAAGCGCGCGCAGGCGGCGAUCUACGUCUGGGGUGAAAGCCCGGAGCUCAACUCCGGGACUGCCUUGGAUACGGGAUUGCUUGAGGACUGGAGAGGCAAGGGGAAUUCCACGUGUAGCGGUGAAAUGCGUAGAUAUGUGGAGGAACACCUGUGGCGAAGGCGCCUUGCUGGCCAAUUUCUGACGCUGAGGCGCGAAAGCGUGGGGAGGCAAACAGGAUUAGAUACCCUGGUAGUCCACGCCGUAAACGAUGAGUGCUAGGUGUU